CAGUCAGCCAGCCCUGCUGUCAGCCCUUUUCUAUCACUCGUGCUAGAGGAGUGAUGAAGAUCGGAACUCCGUUAUUGUCAUAGAUAGAAAGCUCUGUUAGGUAAGGACAUAGAAAUCUCUGUUAGGUAAGGACAUAGAAAUCUCUGUUAGGUAAGGACAUAGAAAUCUCUGUUAGGUAGGGACAUAGAAAGCUCUGUCAGGUAGAGAAACAGAAAGCUCUGUUAGGGACAUUGAAAGACUCUGCUAGGGACAUUAAAAGACUCGGUUAGGGGCAUUUAAUGACUCUGUGAGGGGCCAAAAAAACUGUUAACUGUAUUUUUCAAAGUGUUCAAGUCUUUUUCCUCCAAGUCUAACUCAAAAAUCCUGCUUUAGUUCAGUUCUUUCUAAGACCGUUAUCAAAAUCUGCAUCCUUUUCAGUCAGAUUGUGAGAUCUGUAUUUUUCAAAGUGUUUAUUUUUUUUAUAACCAAUAAACAACCAUGGAUUUGGAAAGCUGGUUAAAGCAGGGAACUCUUCAGAGAAAAAUUAUUACUACUUCUACCUGUUCGGC